rnacentral:rRNA from 1 species
GAUGAACGCUAGCUACAGGCUUAACACAUGCAAGUCGAGGGGAAACGACAUCGAAAGCUUGCUUUUGAUGGGCGUCGACCGGCGCACGGGUGAGUAACGCGUAUCCAACCUGCCCAUCACUUGGGAAUAACCUUGCGAAAGUAAGACUAAUACCCAAUGACAUCCCACGAAGACAUCUGAAUGGGAUUAAAGAUUUAUCGGUGAUGGAUGGGGAUGCGUCUGAUUAGCUUGUUGGCGGGGUAACGGCCCACCAAGGCAACGAUCAGUAGGGGUUCUGAGAGGAAGGUCCCCCACAUUGGAACUGAGACACGGUCCAAACUCCUACGGGGGGCAGCAGUGAGGAAGAUUGGUCAAUGGGCGAGAGCCUGAACCAGCCAAGUAGCGUGCAGGAUGACGGCCCUAUGGGUUGUAAACUGCUUUUAUAAGGGAAUAAAGUGGGUCUCGUGAGACUUUUUGCAUGUACCUGAUGAAUAAGGACCGGCUAAUUCCGUG